GGGGUUGUGGCUCAGUGGUACAGCGCUCCCCUAGCACGUGCGGGGAGCUGAGUCCAAUCCUCAGCAUCACAU
rnacentral:tRNA from 1 species